AACUUUCGGCAAUGGAUCACUUGGCUCUCGCAUCGAUGAAGAACGCAGCGAAAUGCGAUAAGUAAUGUGAAUUGCAGACUUCAGUGAAUCAUCGAAUCCUUGAACGCACCUUGCGCCCUUUCGCUAUUCCGAAGUGCAUGCCUGUUUGAGUAUCAUGAACUUCUCAACUCCUCACGGUUUGCCCGUGAUGUGCUUGGACUUUGGGGGUCUUGCCGGCCUGCGGGUCGGCCCCUCUCAAAUGAAUCAGCUUGCCGGUGUGUGGCGGCGUCACAGGUGUGAUAACUAUCUACGCUUGUGGUUUUCCGCCAGGUAACCUCCAGCGAUGGGGGUUCACUGGAGCUCACAAAUGUCUCUCCUCGGUGAGGACAGCUCUUUGAACGUUUGAUCUCAAAUCAGGUAGGACUACCCGCUGAACUUAAGCAUAUCAAUAAGCGGAGGCU
rnacentral:misc_RNA from 1 species